UACAGAGGGGGCAAGCGUUGUUCGGAAUUACUGGGCGUAAAGGGCGCGUAGGCGGCCUUCUAAGUCGAACGUGAAAUCCCCGGGCUCAACCCGGGAACUGCGUCCGAUACUGGAAGGCUUGAAUCCGGGAGAGGGAUGCGGAAUUCCAGGUGUAGCGGUGAAAUGCGUAGAUAUCUGGAGGAACACCGGUGGCGAAGGCGGCGACCUGGGCCAAUACUGACGCUGAGGUGCGAAAGCGUGGGGAGCAAACAGG
rnacentral:rRNA from 1 species